rnacentral:tRNA from 1 species
UGCUUCUGUCGGCGAUCGGGACGUCCGACUGAAAAUCGGAAGGUCGGCGGUUCGGCCCCGCCCCUGG